UGAGUCCUAUUUUGCACUUGGAUUAUGUGAAAUAUGUUACAAGGAGCUGAGUCAUUUCUUCCUGAUGCAGAUUUUUGUCUUUUAUUAAGCACUAUUGAUUGUUGUCAUAUAUUGUUCAACUAAUUGUUCUAGUUUGAUAAACUAUCUGGUGGACUUGGUGGUGGUUUGGAUCCUCCUGCAUUCCAACGUGCGGAGAAGGAGAGAAUGAUAAAAUCACAUUCCAAGGAAAAUUCUAAUCAAUCACACAAUUUGGUGGAAGAGUCAAACAAUGAAUGCAGGAGCCAAAUAGAAGAAUUACAUACCUCAGUGGCAGAAAGUAUUGUGAUUAAUGAAAAUGUGGCCACUAAAGAUGGUGAGCAUGAUGAGUCACAUAAAGAAGAUGAUCUGAACACAGAAACUCAAAA